UUAAGUGACGAAGCGUAUACGGUGGAUGCCUUGGCAGUUAGAGGCGAUGAAGGACGUGUAAGUCUGCGAAAAGCUGUGGUGAGCCGACAAAAUGCAUUUGAGCCACAGAUGUCCGAAUGGGGAAACCCACCUGUUUACAGGUAUCGUUACAUGAAUACAUAGUGUAACGAGGCGAACGAGGGGAACUGAAACAUCUAAGUACCCUUAGGAAAAGAAAUCAAACGAGAUUCCCCUAGUAGCGGCGAGCGAACGGGGAACAGCCCUUAAGCUGUUUAGUGUGUAGUGGAAUCCUUUGGGAAGAGGAGCGAUACAGGGUGAUAGCCCCGUACACAAAGCGUGCUUUACAGUGAAAUCGAGUAGGUCGGGACACGUGUUAUCUUGACUGAAUAUGGGGGGACCAUCCUCCAAGGCUAAAUACUCCUAACUGACCGAUAGUGAACCAGUACCGUGAGGGAAAGGCGAAAAGAACCCCUGUGAGGGGAGUGAAAUAGAACCUGAAACCGUAUACGUACAAGCAGUGGGAGCCCCAUCACUAAGUGCCUUUAGUGAUGUGACUCACAAAGUGCUAACCCUUGAUAUAGCGAUUAACGUUGACCUGCGAAGCAGCCAACGGUAAACCGCCAAAAUCAAGCAGGGUGCUUAGUGAUGGGGUGACUGCGUACCUUUUGUAUAAUGGGUCAGCGACUUAUAUUUAGUAGCAAGGUUAAGCGAAUAGCGGAGCCGUAGCGAAAGCGAGUGUUAACUGCGCGUUGAGUUGCUAGGUAUAGACCCGAAACCCGGUGAUCUAGCCAUGAGCAGGUUGAAGGUUGAGUAACAUCAACUGGAGGACCGAACCCACUGACGUUGAAAAGUCAGGGGAUGACUUGUGGCUGGGGGUGAAAGGCCAAUCAAACCGGGAGAUAGCUGGUUCUCCCCGAAAUCUAUUUAGGUAGAGCCUCGGACGAAUUCCAUUGGGGGUAGAGCACUGUUAAGGCUAGGGGGUCAUCCCGACUUACCAACCCUUUGCAAACUCCGAAUACCAAUGAGAACUAUCCGGGAGACACACGGCGGGUGCUAACGUCCGUCGUGGAGAGGGAAACAACCCAGACCGCCAGCUAAGGUCCCAAAAUAUUGCUAAGUGGGAAACGAUGUGGGAAGGCACAGACAGCUAGGAGGUUGGCUUAGAAGCAGCCACCCUUUAAAGAAAGCGUAAUAGCUCACUAGUCGAGUCGGCCUGCGCGGAAGAUGUAACGGGGCUAAGCAAUAUACCGAAGCUGCGGCAGCACAGUUUACUGUGCUGGGUAGGGGAGCGUUGUGUAAGUGGAUGAAGGUGAGUUGUAAAGCUUGCUGGACAUAUCACAAGUGCGAAUGCUGACAUGAGUAACGAUAAUGGGAGUGAAAAACUCCCACGCCGGAAGACCAAGGUUUCCUGUCCCAUGCUAAUCAGGGCAGGGUAAGUCGGCCCCUAAGGCGAGGCAGAAAUGCGUAGUCGAUGGGAAACGGAUUAAUAUUUCCGUACUUAUAUAAUCAGUGAUGGAGGGACGGAGAAGGCUAGGCAAGCUUGGCGUUGGUUGUCCAAGUGAAAGUGCGUAGACCGAGAACUUAGGUAAAUCCGGGUUCUUAAAGUCGAGACACGAGACGAGCCACUAAGGUGGUGAAGUUGUUGAUGCCCUGCUUCCAGGAAAAGCUUCUAAACUUAUGAUUAUAUGAACCGUACCCCAAACCGACACAGGUGGUCAGGUAGAGAAUACUAAGGCGCUUGAGAGAACUCGGGUGAAGGAACUCGGCAAAAUUGUACCGUAACUUCGGGAGAAGGUACGCCUCUGUGUGUGAAGACUUCGCGUCGUAAGCACAUGGAGGCCGCAGUGACCAGGUGGCUGGGACUGUUUAUUAAAAACACAGCACUCUGCAAACUCGUAAGAGGACGUAUAGGGUGUGACACCUGCCCGGUGCCGGAAGGUUAAUUGAUGGGGUUAGUUUUCGGACGAAGCUCUUGAUCGAAGCCCCGGUAAACGGCGGCCGUAACUAUAACGGUCCUAAGGUAGCGAAAUUCCUUGUC
rnacentral:rRNA from 1 species